rnacentral:lncRNA from 1 species
AUGUUCAUAGAUUAGAAAAAAGUAAUAUAUUAAAAUAUAAUAUUUUAUUUUAUUUGUAUUUCUGUUUUUUAUUAUACUCUAAGUUCUGGAUGUGGUCCUCAUCUCCUGUGGCUACACCCCAGCUACUAUCCUGAGGAUGUACUCCGCAGUUAGGGGAUGCAAAAUCUUCUCUACCUGUGGUUCUCACAUUACUACAGUGCCUCUCUUUCCCGGGACUGUGUUUGUCAUGUAUGCCCAGCUGGGGCCUGUGGAGUCCAUGGAGCAGGGCAAGGCAAUCUCCAUCUUCUACACCCUGCUCAUCCCAACACUCAACCCCUCAUGUACAGUCUGCGAAAAACGAUGUGAAAAUAGCCCUGAAGAGGUUGGGCCAGAAACACACAGCCAUGUGAAGGAGAGUAGCGGA